AGCCCUUCUCAUUGUCAGCCCCGGCGGCGCUAAUGGAGCCUGACAGUUCUGGGAAGCAGGAUUUGUGUUUCACGACGUGCCUGACAUUCCUCUGCCGUGCAGGUCGGGAGGGGGCUGCCAGCCCCUCCGCCUCCGGGCCGGGAAUGUUCUCAGCUGGAAAGGUGCAGCUGGUGGCAGGAUCCCAAAGCGCCGUGGCUGGGCAGGCAGGGACAGCGCGGGGUGCCAGCACCUCCCCAGGCCAGGAGGACUCGGGGACAGAGGAGGCUGAAGGAAGGGGACAGUGGGCUGAGCUCAGAGGUCUCCACUGGAACUCAGACGUCUAGCACCUUGGAUCCAUCCACUGGGGAAGCAACCACCACAGACUGAUGGCGUAGGAGAGAAAGGCAGGACCGUGGCUGUGUAGAAGUGUUGCAAUGAUUUUUGGGAAUGUGUCCUUCUCCAGCUGGAGAAUCCAAAGGGAUGGAUUUACCCUUGUGAAGGUGAGCCAGUCUAGCACAAGGGAUGGAUUUGAGAUCUGCCAGCCAUGGAGUCCCCUUCAGCUCUUGGAGAGCCCCAGGCACCUCCCACAACUCCCUGGAAAACUCCCUGCAACACCAAGACCCAUCUCUUCCGUGCCCUGUUUUGUGAAAAAACAUGGCAAAAUAACAUUUCCAUUUUCCAGGGAGGAAUUUAAUUAAAAGGAAUUAAGAGGUUUUCUCUGCUUUUUGGAACAGCAUCUGCUGCUGGAGCCCAAGUGUCGGCUGAGCUUGGGAGGAGCUGGGGAUCCACGUCUGGGAAGGAGAAGCUGUUUGGAUAAGCAGCAGUUGCUCCAAGCUGGAGGUUCCAAGCUGCUCUGGCUUUAACCUCGGGAGGGAAAAAGGAAGUUUUCCCGUCCAAUUCAAAUAAAUCUCAGCAGA